CAGUGAGGAAUAUUGGACAAUGGGCGCAAGCCUGAUCCAGCCAUGCCGCGUGCAGGAUGACGGUCCUAUGGAUUGUAAACUGCUUUUAUACGAGAAGAAACACUCCGACGUGUCGGAGCUUGACGGUAUCGUAAGAAUAAGGAUCGGCUAACUCCGUGCCAGCAGCCGCGGUAAUACGGAGGAUCCAAGCGUUAUCCGGAAUCAUUGGGUUUAAAGGGUCCGUAGGCGGUUUAAUAAGUCAGUGGUGAAAGCCCAUCGCUCAACGGUGGAACGGCCAUUGAUACUGUUAAACUUGAAUUAUUAGGAAGUAACUAGAAUAUGUAGUGUAGCGGUGAAAUGCUUAGAGAUUACAUGGAAUACCAAUUGCGAAGGCAGGUUACUACUAAUGGAUUGACGCUGAUGGACGAAAGCGUGGGUAGCGAACAGGAUUAGAUACCCUGGUAGUCCACGCCGUAAACGAUGGAUACUAGCUGUUGGAAGCAAUUUCAGUGGCUAAGCGAAAGUGAUAAGUAUCCCACCUGGGGAGUAC
rnacentral:rRNA from 1 species